ACCCUCUCUUACCAUCAGACUAUACUCUUAUUAUUUAUUUUUAAGUAAUAUUUUAAUAUUAAUUAAUUACACAAUACAAAUUUAAUUUCAAACUAUAACUCUUAUUCUUCUUGUUCCAAUCUAACCAUCCAAACACUAUUUAUCUUAUUCCUAGGAACAACCAAAUUUUCAUCCAAACGCAAAAUUGGUCUAAUUCCUGUUUAUACCUGAACUUGUACCUAUUUCUGGAACUAGCAAUUCUUACUUAUACACGAACCAAACGCAACCUUAAAGUACUAUAUAGAUCAAUGAAAUCUAUCUGUAAGGAGU
rnacentral:lncRNA from 1 species